AGUCGAGCGAUGAACCCUUCGGGGUGGAUUAGCGGCGGACGGGUGAGUAACACGUGGGUAACCUGCCUCAAAGAGGGGAAUAGCCUCCCGAAAGGGAGAUUAAUACCGCAUAAUAUGUUUUAAUCGCAUGAUUGAAACAUCAAAGGAGUAAUCCGCUUUGAGAUGGACCCGCGGCGCAUUAGCUAGUUGGUGAGGUAACGGCUCACCAAGGCGACGAUGCGUAGCCGACCUGAGAGGGUGAUCGGCCACAUUGGAACUGAGACACGGUCCAGACUCCUACGGGAGGUAGCAGUGGGGAAUAUUGCGCAAUGGGGGAAACCCUGACGCAGCAACGCCGCGUGAAUGAUGAAGGCCUUCGGGUUGUAAAGUUCUGUCUUCUGGGACGAUAAUGACGGUACCAGAGGAGGAAGCCACGGCUAACUACGUGCCAGCAGCCGCGGUAAUACGUAGGUGGCAAGCGUUGUCCGGAUUUACUGGGCGUAAAGGAUGCGUAGGCGGACAUUUAAGUCAGAUGUGAAAUACCCGAGCUUAACUUGGGUGCUGCAUUUGAAACUGGGUGUCUAGAGUGCAGGAGAGGUAAGUGGAAUUCCUAGUGUAGCGGUGAAAUGCGUAGAGAUUAGGAAGAACACCAGUGGCGAAGGCGACUUACUGGACUGUGACUGACGCUGAGGCAUGAGAGCGUGGGGAGCAUACAGGAUUAUAUACCCUGUUAGUCUACGCCGUAAAACGAUGAAUACUAGGUGUCGGGAGGUCGAAACCUCU
rnacentral:rRNA from 1 species